rnacentral:misc_RNA from 1 species
UUUCCGUAGGUGAACCUGCGGAAGGAUCAUUCAUAAUUAGUGUUGUAUGACACUUUUUUGAAUCCAUAUCCACCUGUUGUGCAAUGUUAGGGUUGAUCUUUCUCUCGAGAGGCUCAGCCCCAAACACCAACUUUAUAUCAACUCGUUGUCUGAAAAUUAUUUUGAAUAAAACAAUUCAAAAUACAACUUUCAACAACGGAUAUCUUGGCUCUC